rnacentral:sRNA from 1 species
UGUUUAGAAGAAGGAGCUGAAGAG